GUUAAAAGUAGUGCUGUUAUUUCUUGAAUAAUUUUUCCACUCUGUGCUUUUCUCUGAACAAGUGCCUAACUGGAUGCAAAGAGCUCAAUCCUGACUGAUUGCAAUUCCGAUUGUAGCCAGCAGUCGUAAGCUAAUGGAUUGGGACAUGCUCAGUACCAAGCAGGAUUUGACUCUCAGGCAGGAAGUGCUUCUGGGCAGUUCUGUCUGUCAUGAGAGCAGAUAACUUAUAAAUGAUGGGUGGAAGCUAUUCACUUCUGAAAGAAGGAUGCCUCUGAGAAUUUUUUUCAACUGUAGAUUCACCCACUGACUGUGGAUCUGCAGCACAGCGACAGCACAACUCCCGUGUCCUGCACUGGGAAGCUGCAAGACACCUGGGUUACUUGGAGCACCCAAGUGUGAAAAUGUUGGUACUAGUUACCUUUUAAAAGGUGAUUAAAUCUAACACAUGCUUUGGUUUCCUACUGCUUUAACUGCCUACCUUGGUAAAUUUUUCGACAUGUUUACUAUUCUGUGCAUGAAAUAAUGACAGCUACAUCUAUGCAAGGUUAAGUACAAGGAAUUAAUAAGAGGCUGAGAAUCUGGGAGAGCUCCAGGCCUGCAAAUGAAUUUAAUGCUCUGAGGGCUGACGCUUCCAGUGCUGACCCACCUGAAAGGCAAGUUUUCGAAGGUUCCCUCUUCUCCCAGUAUAGCUAA
rnacentral:lncRNA from 1 species